AAUGAACGCUGGCGGCAGGCCUAACACAUGCAAGUCGAACGGAUCCUUCGGGAUUAGUGGCGGACGGGUGAGUAACGCGUGGGAACAUACCCAAAGGUACGGAAUAGCCUCGGGAAACUGGGAGUAAUACCGUAUGUGCUCGAAGGAGGAAAGUUUUUUCGCCUUUGGAUUGGCCCGCGUUGGAUUAGGUAGUUGGUGGGGUAAUGGCCUACCAAGCCGACGAUCCAUAGCUGGUUUGAGAGGAUGAUCAGCCACACUGGGACUGAGACACGGCCCAGACUCCUGCGGGAGGCAGCAGUGGGGAAUCUUCGACAAUGGGGGAGACCCUGAUCUAGCCAUGCCGCGUGAUCGAUGAAGGCCUUAGGGUUGUAAAGAUCUUUCAGGUGGGAAGAUAAUGACUGUACCACCAGAAGAAGCCCCGGCUAACUCCGUGCCAGCAGCCGCAGUAA
rnacentral:rRNA from 1 species